GGGUCAGUAGGUUGGUCGUGCCACCGGUACGUACUGGUCUCACUGAUUCCUCCUUCCUGAAGAACCGUAAUGCCGUUAAUUUGGUGUUGCGGGGAAACAGGACUGUUACUUUGAAAAAAUUAGAGUGUUUAAUGCAAGCUAACGCUUGAAUACAUUAGCAUGGAAUAAUGAAAUAGGACGAUCGAUCCUAUUUUGUUGGUUUCUAGGAUUGACGUA
rnacentral:rRNA from 1 species